rnacentral:rRNA from 1 species
UACGUAGGGGGCAAGCGUUGUCCGGAUUUAUUGGGCGUAAAGAGCGUGUAGGCGGCCAGAUAGGUCCGUUGUGAAAGUCCAGGGCUCAACCCUGGAAUGCCGGUGGAAACUGUCGAGCUUGAGUCCGGAAGAGGCGAGUGGAAUUCCUGGUGUAGCGGUGAAAUGCGCAGAUAUCAGGAGGAACACCCGUGGCGAAAGCGGCUCUCUGGGACGGUACUGACGCUGAGACGCGAAAGCGUGGGGGAGCAAACAGG